AGUCGAGCGAUCUUCUUCGGAAAGAGCGGCGGACGGGUGAGUAACGCGUGGGUAACCUGCCCUGUACACACGGAUAACAUACCGAAAGGUAUGCUAAUACGGGAUAACAUAAGAAAUUCGCAUGUUUUUCUUAUCAAAGCUCCGGCGGUACAGGAUGGACCCGCGUCUGAUUAGCUAGUUGGUGAGGUAACGGCUCACCAAGGCGACGAUCAGUAGCCGACCUGAGAGGGUGAUCGGCCACAUUGGAACUGAGACACGGUCCAAACUCCUACGGGAGGCAGCAGUGGGGAAUAUUGCACAAUGGGCGAAAGCCUGAUGCAGCAACGCCGCGUGAGCGAUGAAGGCCUUCGGGUCGUAAAGCUCUGUCCUCAAGGAAGAUAAUGACGGUACUUGAGGAGGAAGCCCCGGCUAACUACGUGCCAGCAGCCGCGGUAAUACGUAGGGGGCUAGCGUUAUCCGGAUUUACUGGGCGUAAAGGGUGCGUAGGCGGUCUUUUAAGUCAGGAGUGAAAGGCUACGGCUCAACCGUAGUAAGCUCUUGAAACUGGAGGACUUGAGUGCAGGAGAGGAGAGUGGAAUUCCUAGUGUAGCGGUGAAAUGCGUAGAUAUUAGGAGGAACACCAGUAGCGAAGGCGGCUCUCUGGACUGUAACUGACGCUGAGGCACGAAAGCGUGGGGAGCAAACAGGAUUAGAUACCCUGGUAGUCCACGCCGUAAACGAUGAGUACUAGCUGUCGGAGGUUACCCCCUUCGGUGGCGCAGCCAACGCAUUAAGUACUCCG
rnacentral:rRNA from 1 species